UACGAAGGGGGCUAGCGUUGCUCGGAAUUACUGGGCGUAAAGCGCACGUAGGCGGCUUUCUAAGUCGGGGGUGAAAUCCUGGAGCUCAACUCCAGAACUGCCUUCGAUACUGGAGAGCUUGAGUCCGGGAGAGGUGAGUGGAACUGCGAGUGUAGAGGUGAAAUUCGUAGAUAUUCGCAAGAACACCAGUGGCGAAGGCGGCUCACUGGCCCGGUACUGACGCUGAGGUGCGAAAGCGUGGGGAUCAAACAGG
rnacentral:rRNA from 1 species